CUGGGAUGCCACUCUGUGCUUGGAGAAACAGUGAUUGGGUUCCGGAGUAAAGGAGACAAGCGUCGGGCCCCGACUCUGGAAGUGGCCAGCAAUGCAGUCUUGUACAAAUGGCUUAGACUCUUCCAAGGGUUUUGGCAGCCUUUGGGACUGAGGGAAGACUUUGGACUCCCACUCAGGAUAAAGAGCCACCACACCAGAGACGCUGCUGAGAAGAGUCCCAGAGCCUGUGAUGGACUGCUGAGCUGAGCUGUUAAAUGGGGGCGCGGUGGGGGAGGUGAGGGGUGGGAAGUGAAGUGUAAUAUACCCAUCGUUAUCCCGUUUAUGUAAAAACUCCCCAGCUGUGUACUUCUGUGUGAACACACACGUGUACAGAGAGUUCUCGAAGGACAAACCCCAAACAGAUCACAGUGGCUGCUUCUGGGGAGGGGUCUAGCACUGUGGGGCGUCAGGGGAGGACCUUUCUUGGUUGUGCCCUGUGUUUUGGCAUGGUCUGACUU